AUUGAACGCUGGCGGCAUGCUUUACACAUGCAAGUCGAACGGCAGCACGUGCUGGGAAACCAGUAUGGUGGCGAGUGGCGGACGGGUGAGUAGAACAUCGGAACGUAUCCAGUUGAGGGGGAUAACCUAGCGAAAGUUAGGCUAAUACCGCGUAAGCUUGAAGAAGGAAAGCAGGGGAUCUUAGGACCUUGCGCGAUUGGAGCGGCCGAUGACUGAUUAGCUAGUUGGUGGGGUAAAGGCCUACCAAGGCGACGAUCGGUAGCUGGUCUGAGAGGAUGAUCAGCCACACUGGGAAUGAGAGACGGCCCAGACUCCUACGGGAGGCAGCAGUGGGGAAUUUUGGACAAUGGGCGAAAGCCUGAUCCAGCAAUGCCGCGUGGGUGAAGAAGGCCUUAGGGUUGUAAAGCCCUUUUAGCGGGGAAGAAAGGGUAUCUGCGAAUAGUGGAUAUUGAUGACGGUACCCGCAGAAAAAGCACCGGCAAACUACGUGCCAGCAGCCGCGGUAACACGUAGGGUGCGAGCGUUAAUCGGAAUUAUUGGGCGUAAAGAGUGCGCAGGCGGAUAGGUAAGUCAGGUGUGAAAUUCCUGGGCUCAACUUGGGGACAGCACUUGAAACUACGUAUCUAGAGUGGGGCAGAGGGAGGUGGAAUUCCACGUGUAGCAGUGAAAUGCGUAGAGAUGUGGAGGAACACCGAUGGCGAAGGCAGCCUCCUGGGCCAGCACUGACGCUCAUGUACGAAAGCGUGGGUAGCAAACAGG
rnacentral:rRNA from 1 species